GCUUCCGGGGUGGUGGCGAGGGAGGCGGAAGUGCGGUGUUCUAGCAGGUGGCUGCUUUCUCUGGGCUGGCUGUGGGAGGCUCCCGAGGUGGGGACCCGGCCGGGAUGGCUGCAGCGGCGGCCGGGGCUGGGAGCGGGCCCUCGGCGGCCCAGGAGAAGCAGUUCCUGCCGGCGCUGCUGAGUUUCUUCAUCUACAACCCGCGCUUCUGGCCGCGGGAAGGAGAGACCUCCCAGUGCCAAGUGUAUAAGCGUGUCCAGAAUUGGUGGGUCUCACUGACUUCAAGAAUGAAGCCGCGGACCCUCCUGGCGGAAUUCUCCACGAGUUUUGAGCAGCCUCGGUUUUCCCACCACCUCCAAAUCAUGCAAGACACAGGGUAAGAGCAAAGACAAGGUGGCUGUGGCCGAUGUCCACCCUCUCGGGGCGUCCCUUCUCUUCUCUCCUCCUUGAGCAGGGAGACCAUCGGGGUGCAACCUGGUUGGGGCGGGGAGGAGGUGCAGGGCCUGGCCAGAGCGGGCCUGGCCACGGGCAAGGGACAGCGACCCCCGGGCCAGGACAGGUGAGAGCGGCGCAGGCCCGGGCCCGGCGUGGCGGAGGUGCGCGUGAGCGGCCAGCAGAGGGCGCCAGAGAGCCAGGAGCGGCCCGCAGAGGAGCCCGCGCCGGCCCCGGUGCCCACCUCCGCGCCGCGCGGACCCUCCGAGCCCGCGCUCAGACGCCCCAGCUCCGCCGAGAGGCCGCUUGCGCCGGGUCCUUCUUCCCCAAAUGCAGGCAGAGCCCCCGGAGCCAUGGCCAGCCCUUCCGGCAGCUCCAAAGCCACUGGCAAGCCCCGAGGCAGGGAUGGCCGGCCCAGGAGGGAGGAGGACGACGUCCCUCCCGAAGAGAAGAGGCUGCGGCUCUUGCUGGAGGGGGGAAGCGCACAGCCCCAGGACUGCGAGGACGGGGAGGACGCGCCGCGGCCGGGCAGGGAGGAGACCGGCACCCAGACAGGUGGCGACGGCAGAGGACCUCUGCCUCAGUCUCCUCUUCUGGAAAGUGGGAUUGGAAACCACAUCUGCUUCUCUCCCAGGACUGCUAGGCAGACAAGAUUAGAUGGCAGCAAGGCGCAUGGGUCGACUGAGCUGGGAGAGUCCACAGUGUCAGCCUCCCCCACGCUUCCCUCCCUCCUUAUUCCUUGUGUGCUGUACUUUGUCUUGAUUUCCUGUACUCUGCACCAAGCCAGGAGAUGGUCUGUUCUUCCCCUGGAUUGUAAACUCCUUGAUGUCUGGGUCAUCUCAGCUCAUGAGCUGAGCUUUCAGUGGGUGCUCAGUGGAACAGAUGCUGAAUGGAGUCAGGCUGUAGGGAGGCCAGUGUGUGUUGGAAGGAAAAUACAUGUACAGCCAACUUCCUUGAGGGUUCGUUCUUUUGCAUCAGGGUGUCUCAAACUGCUGCCCUUAAAACACCUGUAAGAGAAUCAUCCAGGCGGCUUGCUCACUCUGCAUGCAGGCCCUUUAGAAUGAGAGUCAGAAUCCCUGGGGCUGGAGCCACAAAAUGAAAUGACAUUUCAACGAGUUUGUCAUCAUGUGAGAGAGAAUAGAUUUUCUUCAAUCACAUCUGAAUAAAUCACUUGAAGAAAGCUUAUAGCUUCAUUGCACCAUGUGUGGCAUUUGGGCGCUGUUUGGCAGUGAUGAUUGCCUUUCUGUUCAGUGUCUGAGUGCUAUGAAGAUUGCACACAGAGGUCCAGAUGCAUUCCGUUUUGAGAAUGUCAAUGGAUACACCAACUGCUGCUUUGGAUUUCACCGGUUGGCGGUAGUUGACCCGCUGUUUGGAAUGCAGCCAAUUCGAGUGAAGAAAUAUCCGUAUUUGUGGCUCUGUUACAAUGGUGAAAUCUACAACCAUAAGAAGAUGCAACAGCAUUUUGAAUUUGAAUACCAGACCAAAGUGGAUGGUGAGAUAAUCCUUCAUCUUUAUGACAAAGGAGGAAUUGAGCAAACAAUUUGUAUGUUGGAUGGUGUGUUUGCAUUUGUUUUACUGGAUACUGCCAAUAAGAAAGUGUUCCUGGGUAGAGAUACAUAUGGAGUCAGACCUUUGUUUAAAGCAAUGACAGAAGAUGGAUUUUUGGCUGUAUGUUCAGAAGCUAAAGGUCUUGUUACAUUGAAGCACUCCGCGACUCCCUUUUUAAAAGUGGAGCCUUUUCUUCCUGGACACUAUGAAGUUUUGGAUUUAAAGCCAAAUGGCAAAGUUGCAUCCGUGGAAAUGGUUAAAUAUCAUCACUGUCGGGAUGUACCCCUGCACGCCCUCUAUGACAAUGUGGAGAAACUCUUUCCAGGUUUUGAGAUAGAAACUGUGAAGAACAACCUCAGGAUCCUUUUUAAUAAUGCUGUAAAGAAACGUUUGAUGACAGACAGAAGGAUUGGCUGCCUUUUAUCAGGGGGCUUGGACUCCAGCUUGGUUGCUGCCACUCUGUUGAAGCAGCUGAAAGAAGCCCAAGUACAGUAUCCUCUCCAGACAUUUGCAAUUGGCAUGGAAGACAGCCCCGAUUUACUGGCUGCUAGAAAGGUGGCAGAUCAUAUUGGAAGUGAACAUUAUGAAGUCCUUUUUAACUCUGAGGAAGGCAUUCAGGCUCUGGAUGAAGUCAUAUUUUCCUUGGAAACUUAUGACAUUACAACAGUUCGUGCUUCAGUAGGUAUGUAUUUAAUUUCCAAGUAUAUUCGGAAGAACACAGAUAGCGUGGUGAUCUUCUCUGGAGAAGGAUCAGAUGAACUUACGCAGGGUUACAUAUAUUUUCACAAGGAUUGGAGAGGGAGAAAGAAAAACUGCUUUGUGUGCCAAAAGCAAAACUCUUGGUGUUUUUGUUUGUGAAAUAGGCUCCUUCUCCUGAAAAAGCCGAGGAGGAGAGUGAGAGGCUUCUGAGGGAACUCUAUUUGUUUGAUGUUCUCCGCGCAGAUCGAACUACUGCUGCCCAUGGUCUUGAACUGAGAGUCCCAUUUCUAGAUCAUCGAUUUUCUUCCUAUUACUUGUCUCUGCCACCAGAAAUGAGAAUUCCAAAGAAUGGGAUAGAAAAACAUCUCCUGAGAGAGACGUUUGAGGAUUCCAAUCUGAUACCCAAAGAGAUUCUCUGGCGACCAAAAGAAGCCUUCAGUGAUGGAAUAACUUCAGUUAAGAAUUCCUGGUUUAAGAUUUUACAGGAAUACGUUGAACAUCAGGUUGAUGAUGCAAUGAUGGCAAAUGCAGCCCAGAAAUUUCCCUUCAAUACUCCUAAAACCAAAGAAGGAUAUUACUACCGUCAAGUCUUUGAACGCCAUUACCCAGGCCGGGCUGACUGGCUGAGCCAUUACUGGAUGCCCAAGUGGAUCAAUGCCACUGACCCUUCUGCCCGCACGCUGACCCACUACAAGUCAGCUGUCAAAGCUUAGGUGGUCUUUAUGCUGUAAUGUGAAAGCAAAUAUUUCUUCGUGUUGGAUGGGGACUGUGGGUAGAUAGGGGAACAAUGAGAGUCAACUCAGGCUAACUUGGGUGUGAAAAAAAUAAAAGUCCUAAAUCUAAACCAUUGCUGUA